rnacentral:rRNA from 1 species
UCUGACGAUCCGUAACUGGUCUGAGAGGAUGAUCAGUCACACUGGAACUUGAGACACGGUCCAGACUCCUACGGGAGGCAGCAGUGGGGAAUAUUGGACAAUGGGCGAAAGCCUGAUCCAAGCCAUGCCGCGUGUGUGAAGAAGGUCUUCGGAUUGUAAAGCACUUUAAGUUGGGAGGAAGGGCAUUAACCUAAUACGUUAGUGUUUUGACGUUACCAACAGAAUAAGCACCGGCUAACUUCGUGCCAGCAGCCGCGGUAAUACGAAGGGUGCAAGCGUUAAUCGGAAUUACUGGGCGUAAAGCGCGCGUAGGUGGUUCAGCAAGUUGGAGGUGAAAUCCCCGGGCUCAACCUGGGAACUGCCUCUAAAACUACUGAGCUAGAGUACGGUAGAGGGUGGUGGAAUUUCCUGUGUAGCGGUGAAAUGCGUAGAUAUAGGAAGGAACACCAGUGGCGAAGGCGACCACCUGGACUGAUACUGACACUG